CCCUUAGAUGUUCUGGGCCGCACGCGCGUUACACUGAUGCAUUCAACGAGCUUAUAACCUUGGCCGAGAGGCCUGGGCAAUCUUGUUAACGUGCAUCGUGAUAGGGAUAGAUUAUUGAAAUUAUUAAUCUUGAACGAGGAAUUCCUAGUAAACGCAGAUCAUCAAUCUGCAUUGAUUACGUCCCUGCCCUUUGUACACACCGCCCGUCGCACCUACCGAUUGGAUGGUCCGGUGAAGCCUCGGGAUUGUGGUUCUUGCCGCUUUAUUGUGGCGUGACCGCGAGAACUUGUCUAAACCUUAUCAUCUAGAGGAAGGUGAAGUCGUANCA
rnacentral:rRNA from 1 species